AGUCUGGUGCCAGCAGCCGCGGUAAUUCCAGCUCCAAUAGCGUAUAUUAAAGUUGUUGCAGUUAAAAAGCUCGUAGUUGAACCUUGGGCCUGGCUGGCCGGUCCGCCUCACCGCGUGCACUGGUCCGGCCGGGCCUUUCCUUCUGGGGAACCGCAUGGCCUUCACUGGCUGCGUCGGGGAACCAGGACUUUUACUUUGAAAAAAUUAGAGUGUUCAAAGCAGGCCUUUGCUCGGAUACAUUAGCAUGGAAUAAUGGAAUAGGACGGCUUUCCUAUUUUGUUGGUUUCUAGGAGAGCCGUAAUGAUUAAUAGGGACAGUCGGGGGCACUAGUAUUCAGCUGUCAGAGGUGAAAUUCUUGGAUUUGCUGAAGACUAACUACUGCGAAAGCAUUUGCCAAGGAUGUUUUCAUUAAUCAGUGAACGAAAGUUAGGGGAUCGAUGACGAUCAGAUACCGUCGUAGUCUUAACCAUAAACUAUGCCGACUAGGGAUCGGUCGGUGUUAUUAUUUUGACCCGAUCGGCACCUUACGAGAAAUCAAAGUUUUUGGGUUCUGGGGGGAGUAUGGUCGCAAGGCUGAAACUUAAAGAAAUUGACGGAAGGGCACCACCAGGAGUGGAGCCUGCGGCUUAAUUUGACCCAACACGGGGAAACUCACCAGGUCCGGAUGCAAUAAGGAUUGACAGAUUGAGAGCUCUUUCUUGAUUUUGCAGUUGGUGGUGCAUGGCCGUUCUUAGUUGGUGGAGUGAUUUGUCUGCUUAAUUGCGAUAACGAACGAGACCUUAACCUGCUAAAUAGCCCGGCUGGCUUUUGCAAGUCGCUGGCUUCUUGGAGGGACUAUCUACUCAAGUGGAUGGAAGUUUGAGGCAAUAACAGGUCUGUGAUGCCCUUAGAUGUCCUGGGCUGCACGCGCGCUACACUGACAGAGCCAACGAGUUCAUCACCUUGACCGGAAGGUUUGGGUAAUCUUGUUAAACUCUGUCGUGCUGGGGAUAGGGCAUUGCAAUUAUUGCCCUUCAACGAGGAAUGCCUAGUAAGCGUAUGUCAUCAGCAUGCGUUGAUUACGUCCCUGCCCUUUGUACACACCGCCCGUCGCUACUACCGAUUGAACGGCUAAGUGAGGCCUUCGGAUUGGCUCAGACUGUCGGCAACGAUGGUCAGAGCCGAAAAGUUGGUCAAUCUUGGUCGUUUAGAGGAAGUAAAAGUCG
rnacentral:rRNA from 1 species